UACGGAAGGCAGCGAGUGGGGAAUAUUGCACAAUGGGCGAAAGCCUGAUGCAGCUAUGCCGCGUGUAUGAAGAAGGCCUUAGGGUUGUAAAGUACUUUCAUCGGGGAGGAAAAACAAAACUAAUAAUUUUAUUUCUUGACGUUACCCGAAAAAGAAGCACCGGCUAACUCCGUGCCAGCAGCCGCGGUAAUACGGAGGGUGCUAGCGUUAAUCAGAAUUACUGGGCGUAAAGAGCACGUAGGUGGUUUUUUAAAGUCAGAUGUGAAAUCCCUGGGCUUAACCUAGGAACUGCAUUUUGAAACUGAAAUACUAGAGUAUCGUAGAGGGAGGUAGAAUUCUAGGUGUAGCGGUGAAAUGCGUAGAUAUCUGGAGGAAUACCUGUGGCGAAAGCGGCCUCCUAAACGAAUACUGACACUGAGGUGCGAAAGCGUGGGGAGCAAACAGGGAUUAGAUACC
rnacentral:rRNA from 1 species